rnacentral:rRNA from 1 species
GACGAACGCUGGCGGCGUGCUUAACACAUGCAAGUCGAACGGAAAGGCCCUGCUUUUGUGGGGUGCUCGAGUGGCGAACGGGUGAGUAACACGUGAGUAACCUGCCCUUGACUUUGGGAUAACUUCAGGUAACUGGGGCUAAUACCGGAUAGGAGCUCCUGCUGCAUGGUGGGGGUUGGAAAGUUUCGGCGGUUGGGGAUGGACUCGCGGCUUAUCAGCUUGUUGGUGGGGUAGUGGCUUACCAAGGCUUUGACGGGUAGCCGGCCUGAGAGGGUGACCGGCCACAUUGGGACUGAGAUACGGCCCAGACUCCUACGGGAGGCAGCAGUGGGGAAUAUUGCACAAUGGGCGGAAGCCUGAUGCAGCAACGCCGCGUGCGGGAUGACGGCCUUCGGGUUGUAAACCGCUUUCGCCUGUGACGAAGCGUGAGUGACGGUAAUGGGUAAAGAAGCACCGGCUAACUACGUGCCAGCAGCCGCGGUGAUACGUAGGGUGCGAGCGUUGUCCGGAUUUAUUGGGCGUAAAGGGCUCGUAGGUGGUUGAUCGCGUCGGAAGUGUAAUCUUGGGGCUUAACCCUGAGCGUGCUUUCGAUACGGGUUGACUUGAGGAAGGUAGGGGAGAAUGGAAUUCCUGGUGGAGCGGUGGAAUGCGCAGAUAUCAGGAGGAACACCAGUGGCGAAGGCGGUUCUCUGGGCCUUUCCUGACGCUGAGGAGCGAAAGCGUGGGGAGCGAACAGGCUUAGAUACCCUGGUAGUCCACGCUGUAAACGGUGGGUACUAGGUGUGGGGUCCAUUCCACGGGUUCCGUGCCGUAGCUAACGCUUUAAGUACCCCGCCUGGGGAGUACGGCCGCAAGGCUAAAACUCAAAGGAAUUGACGGGGCCCCGCACAGGCGGCGGAGCAUGCGGAUUAAUUCGAUGCAACGCGUAGAACCUUACCUGGGUUUGACAUGGAUCGGGAGCGCUCAGAGAUGGGUGUGCCUCUUUUGGGGUCGGUUCACAGGUGGUGCAUGGCUGUCGUCAGCUCGUGUCGUGAGAUGUUGGGUUAAGUCCCGCAACGAGCGCAACCCUUGUUCACUGUUGCCAGCACGUUAUGGUGGGGACUCAGUGGAGACCGCCGGGGUCAACUCGGAGGAAGGUGGGGAUGGCGUCAAGUCAUCAUGCCCCUUAUGUCCAGGGCUUCACGCAUGCUACAAUGGCUGGUACAGAGAGUGGCGAGCCUGUGAGGGUGAGCGAAUCUCGGAAAGCCGGUCUCAGUUCGGAUUGGGGUCUGCAACUCGACCUCAUGAAGUCGGAGUCGCUAGUAAUCGCAGAUCAGCAACGCUGCGGUGAAUACGUUCCCGGG